rnacentral:rRNA from 1 species
GACGAACGCUGGCGGCGUGCUUAACACAUGCAAGUCGAACGGUGAAGCGCCUUCCUUUUUGGUGGGUGUGGAUGAGUGGCGAACGGGUGAGUAACACGUGAGUAACCUGCCCCCUUCUUCUGGAUAACCGCAUGAAAGUGUGGCUAAUACGGGAUAUUCUGGGUCUGUCGCAUGAUGGGUCUGGGAAAGAUAUUGUUUCGGUGGGGGAUGGGCUCGCGGCCUAUCAGCUUGUUGGUGGGGUGAUGGCCUACCAAGGCGGUGACGGGUAGCCGGCCUGAGAGGGUGGACGAUCACACUGGGACUGAGACACGGCCCAGACUCCUACGGGAGGCAGCAGUGGGGAAUAUUGCACAAUGGGCGCAAGCCUGAUGCAGCGACGCCGCAUGAGGGAUGGAGGCCUUCGGGUUGAGAACCUCUUUCGCCAGUGAAGCAGGCCUGCCUCGUUUGUGGGUGGGUUGACGGUAGCUGGAUAAGAAGCGCCGGCUAACUACGUG